rnacentral:rRNA from 1 species
GGUGAGUGCUUUGGGGUGGGGUGACUGCGUACCUUUUGUAUAAUGGGUCAGCGACUUAUAUUCUGUAGCAAGGUUAACCGUAUAGGGGAGCCGGAGGGAAACCGAGUCUUAACCGGGCGUUAAGUUGCAGGGUAUAGACCCGAAACCCGGUGAUCUAGCCAUGGGCAGGUUGAAGGUUGGGUAACACUAACUGGAGGACCGAACCGACUAAUGUUGAAAAAUUAGCGGAUGACCUGUGGCUGGGGGUGAAAGGCCAAUCAAACCGGGAGAUAGCUGGUUCUCCCCGAAAGCUAUUUAGGUAGCGCCUCGUGAAUUCAUCUCCGGGGGUAGAGCACUGUUUCGGCUAGGGGGUCAUCCCGACUUACCAACCCGAUGCAAACUGCGAAUACCGGAGAAUGUUAUCACGGGAGACACACGGCGGGUGCUAACGUCCGUCGUGAAGAGGGAAACAACCCAGACCGCCAGCUAAGGUCCCAAAGUCAUGGUUAAGUGGGAAACGAUGUGGGAAGGCCCAGACAGCCAGGAUGUUGGCUUAGAAGCAGCCAUCAUUUAAAGAAAGCGUAAUAGCUCACUGGUCGAGUCGGCCUGCGCGGAAGAUGUAACGGGGCUAAACCAUGCACCGAAGCUGCGGCAGCGACACUCAGGUGUUGUUGGGUAGGGGAGCGUUCUGUAAGCCUGCGAAGGUGGCCUGUGAGGGUUGCUGGAGGUAUCAGAAGUGCGAAUGCUGACAUAAGUAACGAUAAAGCGGGUGAAAAGCCCGCUCGCCGGAAGACCAAGGGUUCCUGUCCAACGUUAAUCGGGGCAGGGUGAGUCGACCCCUAAGGCGAGGCCGAAAGGCGUAGUCGAUGGGAAACGGGUUAAUAUUCCCGUACUUGGUGUUACUGCGAAGGGGGGACGGAGAAGGCUAUGUUGGCCGGGCGACGGUUGUCCCGGUUUAAGCGUGUAGGUGUGUGUUCCAGGUAAAUCCGGUUCACUUUAACACUGAGGCGUGAUGACGAGGCACUACGGUGCUGAAGCAACAAAUGCCCUGCUUCCAGGAAAAGCCUCUAAGCAUCAGGUAACAUCAAAUCGUACCCCAAACCGACACAGGUGGUCAGGUAGAGAAUACCAAGGCGCUUGAGAGAACUCGGGUGAAGGAACUAGGCAAAAUGGUGCCGUAACUUCGGGAGAAGGCACGCUGACACGUAGGUGAAGUGAUUUACUCAUGGAGCUGAAGUCAGUCGAAGAUACCAGCUGGCUGCAACUGUUUAUUAAAAACACAGCACUGUGCAAACACGAAAGUGGACGUAUACGGUGUGACGCCUGCCCGGUGCCGGAAGGUUAAUUGAUGGGGUCAGCGCAAGCGAAGCUCCUGAUCGAAGCCCCGGUAAACGGCGGCCGUAACUAUAACGGUCCUAAGGUAGCGAAAUUCCUUGUCGGGUAAGUUCCGACCUGCACGAAUGGCGUAAUGAUGGCCAGGCUGUCUCCACCCGAGACUCAGUGAAAUUGAACUCGCUGUGAAGAUGCAGUGUACCCGCGGCAAGACGGAAAGACCCCGUGAACCUUUACUAUAGCUUGACACUGAACAUUGAGCCUUGAUGUGUAGGAUAGGUGGGAGGCUUUGAAGCGUGGACGCCAGUCUGCGUGGAGCCGACCUUGAAAUACCACCCUUUAAUGUUUGAUGUUCUAACGUGGACCCGUGAUCCGGGUUGCGGACAGUGUCUGGUGGGUAGUUUGACUGGGGCGGUCUCCUCCUAAAGAGUAACGGAGGAGCACGAAGGUUGGCUAAUCCUGGUCGGACAUCAGGAGGUUAGUGCAAUGGCAUAAGCCAGCUUGACUGCGAGCGUGACGGCGCGAGCAGGUGCGAAAGCAGGUCAUAGUGAUCCGGUGGUUCUGAAUGGAAGGGCCAUCGCUCAACGGAUAAAAGGUACUCCGGGGAUAACAGGCUGAUACCGCCCAAGAGUUCAUAUCGACGGCGGUGUUUGGCACCUCGAUGUCGGCUCAUCACAUCCUGGGGCUGAAGUAGGUCCCAAGGGUAUGGCUGUUCGCCAUUUAAAGUGGUACGCGAGCUGGGUUUAGAACGUCGUGAGACAGUUCGGUCCCUAUCUGCCGUGGGCGCUGGAGAACUGAGGGGGGCUGCUCCUAGUACGAGAGGACCGGAGUGGACGCAUCACUGGUGUUCGGGUUGUCAUGCCAAUGGCACUGCCCGGUAGCUAAAUGCGGAAGAGAUAAGUGCUGAAAGCAUCUAAGCACGAAACUUGCCCCGAGAUGAGUUCUCCCUGAGACUUA